UACGUAGGGUGCAAGCGUUAAUCGGAAUUACUGGGCGUAAAGCGUGCGCAGGCGGUUUUGUAAGUCUGUCGUGAAAGCCCCGGGCUCAACCUGGGAAUUGCGAUGGAGACUGCAAGGCUUGAAUCUGGCAGAGGGGGGUAGAAUUCCACGUGUAGCAGUGAAAAUGCGUAGAGAUGUGGAGGAACACCGAUGGCGAAGGCAGCCCCCUGGGUCAAGAUUGACGCUCAUGCACGAAAGCGUGGGGAGCAAACAGG
rnacentral:rRNA from 1 species